rnacentral:rRNA from 1 species
GGUUUCGGCCGGGGAUUAGUGGCGAACGGGUGAGUAACACGUGGGCAAUCUGCCCUGCACUCUGGGACAAGCCCUGGAAACGGGGUCUAAUACCGGAUAUGACCACCGGCCGCAUGGUCUGGUGGUGGAAAGCUCCGGCGGUGCAGGAUGAGCCCGCGGCCUAUCAGCUUGUUGGUGGGGUGAUGGCCUACCAAGGCGACGACGGGUAGCCGGCCUGAGAGGGCGACCGGCCACACUGGGACUGAGACACGGCCCAGACUCCUACGGGAGGCAGCAGUGGGGAAUAUUGCACAAUGGGCGCAAGCCUGAUGCAGCGACGCCGCGUGAGGGAUGACGGCCUUCGGGUUGUAAACCUCUUUCAGCAGGGAAGAAGCGCGAGUGACGGUACCUGCAGAAGAAGCACCGGCUAACUACGUGCCAGCAGCCGCGGUAAUACGUAGGGUGCGAGCGUUGUCCGGAAUUAUUGGGCGUAAAGAGCUCGUAGGCGGCCUGUCGCGUCGGAUGUGAAAGCCCGGGGCUUAACCCCGGGUCUGCAUUCGAUACGGGCAGGCUAGAGUUCGGCAGGGGAGAUUGGAAUUCCUGGUGUAGCGGUGAAAUGCGCAGAUAUCAGGAGGAACACCGGUGGCGAAGGCGGAUCUCUGGGCCGAUACUGACGCUGAGGAGCGAAAGCGUGGGGAGCGAAACAGGAUUAGAUACCCUGGUAGUCCACGCCGUAAACUUUGGGCACUAGGUGUGGGCGGCAUUCCACGUCGUCCGUGCCCCACUUAACGAAUUAAGUGCCCC